GCGAGUUUGAUCAUGGCUCAGGAUAAACGCUGGCGGCGUGCCUAAUCAAUGCGAGUCGAACGGGUGACUUCGGUCACCAGUGGCGUCCGGGUGAGUAACGCGUAGCUAACCUGCCACCUGCUGGGGGAUACCCGCCAGAAAUGGCGGCUAAUACCGCAUAGCUUGACAGAGGGCGACCUCUGGCAAGAAAGCCGCAAGGCGGCAGGCGAGGGGGCUGCGUCCGAUUAGCUAGUCGGUGGGGUAACGGCCUACCGAGGCGACGAUCGGUAGCUGGUCUGAGAGGAUGGUCAGCCACACUGGGACUGAGACAUGGUCCAGAGCUCUACGGGGUUUAGCAUGAAGGGAUAUUGCGCAAUGGGCGAAAGCCUGACGCAGCAACGCCGCGUGUGGGAUGACGCCUUUCGGGGUGUAAACCACUUUUCCCAGGGAAGAAGAAUGUGACGGUACCUGGGGAAGAAGCCUUGGCUAAGUACGUGCCAGCAGCCGCGGUAAUAAGUUCCCUGUGUG
rnacentral:rRNA from 1 species